rnacentral:rRNA from 1 species
CCCAGACUCCUACGGGAGGCAGCAGUGAGGAAUAUUGGUCAAUGGGCGGGAGCCUGAACCAGCCAAGUCGCGUGAGGGAAGACGGUCCUACGGAUUGUAAACCUCUUUUGCCGGGGAGCAACGGGGUCCUUGCGAGGGCCCGAUGAGAGUACCCGGAGAAAAAGCAUCGGCUAACUCCGUGCCAGCAGCCGCGGUAAUACGGAGGAUGCGAGCGUUAUCCGGAUUUAUUGGGUUUAAAGGGUGCGUAGGCGGGCUGUUAAGUCAGCGGUCAAAUGUCGGGGCUCAACCCCGUCGUGCCGUUGAAACUGACACCCUUGAGUGAGUGAGAAGUAAGCGGAAUGCGUGGUGUAGCGGUGAAAUGCAUAGAUAUCACGCAGAACGCCGAUUGCGAAGGCAGCUUACCGGCGCUCAACUGACGCUGAGGCACGAAAGUGCGGGUAUCGAACAGGAUUAGAUACCCCCGUAGUU